UACGUAGGGUGCGAGCGUUGUCCGGAAUUAUUGGGCGUAAAGAGCUUGUAGGCGAUCUGUCGCGUCUGCUGUGAAAACCCGAGGCUCAACCUCGGGCCUGCAGUGGGUACGGGCAGACUAGAGUGCGGUAGGGGAGAUUGGAAUUCCUGGUGUAGCGGUGGAAUGCGCAGAUAUCAGGAGGAACACCGGUGGCGAAGGCGGGUCUCUGGGCAGUAACUGACGCUGAGGAGCGAAAGCGUGGGGAGCGAACAGG
rnacentral:rRNA from 1 species